CCUACGGGAGGCAGCAGUGGGGGAUAUUGCACAAUGGGGGGAACCCUGAUGCAGCGACGCCGCGUGGGUGAAGGAGUGCUUCGGCAUGUAAAGCCCUAUCGGCAGGGAAGAAGCAAGACGGUACCUGACUAAGAAGCCCCGCCUAACUACGGGCCAGCAGCCGCGGUAAUACGUAGGGGGCGAGCGUUAUCCGGAUUCACUGGGUGUAAAGGGAGUGUAGACGGCCAUGCAGGCCAGGGGUGAAAGCCCGGGGCCCAACCCGGGGACUGCCCUUGGAACUGCAUGGCUGGAGUGCGGGAGGGGCAGGAGGAAUUCGUGGUGUAGCGGUGAAAUGCGUAGAUAUCAGGAGGAACACCGGCGGCGAAGGCGGCCUGC
rnacentral:rRNA from 1 species